GACGAACGCUGGCGGCGUGCUUAACACAUGCAAGUCGAGCGGUAAGGCCCCUUCGGGGGUACACGAGCGGCGAACGGGUGAGUAACACGUGAGCAAUCUGCCCUUCACUUUGGGAUAACCACCGGAAACGGUGGCUAAUACCGAAUACGACCACUUCGGGCAUCCGAUGGUGGUGGAAAGUUCCGGCGGUGAAGGAUGAGCUCGCGGCCUAUCAGCUUGUUGGUGGGGUAACGGCCCACCAAGGCAACGACGGGUAGCCGGCCUGAGAGGGUGACCAGCCAAACUGGGACUGGGACACGGCCCAGACUCCUACGGGAGGCAGCAGUGGGGAAUAUUGGACAAUGGGCGAAAGCCUGAUCCAGCAACGCCGCGUGAGGGAUGACGGCCUUCGGGUUGUAAACCUCUUUCAGCAGGGACGAAGCGCAAGUGACGGUACCUGCAGAAGAAGCACCGGCCAACUACUUGCCAGCAGCCGCGGUAAAAC
rnacentral:rRNA from 1 species